rnacentral:Y_RNA from 1 species
AGCUGUCGAUGGUAGUGGGUUAUCAGACUUAUUCACAUUAGUGUCACUAAAGUUGGUAUUCAACCCCCACUGCUAAAUUUAGGCUUUAA